rnacentral:rRNA from 1 species
UUAAGUUAGAAAGGGCGCACGGUGGAUGCCUUGGCACUAGGAGCCGAUGAAGGACGGGACGAACACCGAUAUGCUUCGGGGAGCUGUAAGCAAGCUUUGAUCCGGAGAUUUCCGAAUGGGGAAACCCACCACUCGUAAUGGAGUGGUAUCCAUAUCUGAAUUCAUAGGAUAUGAGAAGGCAGACCCGGGGAACUGAAACAUCUAAGUACCCGGAGGAAGAGAAAGCAAAUGCGAUUCCCUGAGUAGCGGCGAGCGAAACGGGAUUAGCCCAAACCAAGAGGCUUGCCUCUUGGGGUUGUAGGACACUCUGUACGGAGUUACAAAGGAACGAGGUAGAUGAAGAGGUCUGGAAAGGCCCGCCAUAGGAGGUAACAGCCCUGUAGUCAAAACUUCGUUCUCUCCUGAGUGGAUCCUGAGUACGGCGGAACACGUGAAAUUCCGUCGGAAUCCGGGAGGACCAUCUCCCAAGGCUAAAUACUCCCUAGUGACCGAUAGUGAACCAGUACCGUGAGGGAAAGGUGAAAAGCACCCCGGAAGGGGAGUGAAAGAGAUCCUGAAACCGUGUGCCUACAAGUAGUCAGAGCCCGUUAACGGGUGAUGGCGUGCCUUUUGUAGAAUGAACCGGCGAGUUACGAUCUCGUGCAAGGUUAAGCAGAAGAUGCGGAGCCGCAGCGAAAGCGAGUCUGAAUAGGGCGCAUGAGUACGUGGUCGUAGACCCGAAACCAGGUGAUCUACCCAUGUCCAGGGUGAAGUUCAGGUAACACUGAAUGGAGGCCCGAACCCACGCACGUUGAAAAGUGCGGGGAUGAGGUGUGGGUAGGGGUGAAAUGCCAAUCGAACCUGGAGAUAGCUGGUUCUCUCCGAAAUAGCUUUAGGGCUAGCCUCAAGGUAAGAGUCUUGGAGGUAGAGCACUGAUUGGACUAGGGGCCCCUACCGGGUUACCGAAUUCAGUCAAACUCCGAAUGCCAAUGACUUAUCCUUGGGAGUCAGACUGCGAGUGAUAAGAUCCGUAGUCGAAAGGGAAACAGCCCAGACCGCCAGCUAAGGUCCCAAAGUAUACGUUAAGUGGAAAAGGAUGUGGAGUUGCUUAGACAACCAGGAUGUUGGCUUAGAAGCAGCCACCAUUUAAAGAGUGCGUAAUAGCUCACUGGUCGAGUGACUCUGGNCCGAAAAUGUACCGGGGCUAAACGUAUCACCGAAGCUGCGGACUGUUCUUCGAACAGUGGUAGGAGAGCGUUCUAAGGGCUGUGAAGCCAGACCGGAAGGACUGGUGGAGCGCUUAGAAGUGAGAAUGCCGGUAUGAGUAGCGAAAGAGGGGUGAGAAUCCCCUCCACCGAAUGCCUAAGGUUUCCUGAGGAAGGCUCGUCCGCUCAGGGUUAGUCGGGACCUAAGCCGAGGCCGAAAGGCGUAGGCGAUGGACAACAGGUUGAUAUUCCUGUACCACCUCCUCACCAUUUGAGCAAUGGGGGGACGCAGGAGGAUAGGGUAAGCGCGGUAUUGGAUAUCCGCGUCCAAGCAGUUAGGCUGGGAAAUAGGCAAAUCCGUUUCCCAUAAGGCUGAGCUGUGAUGGCGAGCGAAAUAUAGUAGCGAAGUUCCUGAUUCCACACUGCCAAGAAAAGCUCUAGCGAGGUGAGAGGUGCCCGUACCGCAAACCGACACAGGUAGGCGAGGAGAGAAUCCUAAGGUGAUCGAGAGAACUCUCGUUAAGGAACUCGGCAAAAUGACCCCGUAACUUCGGGAGAAGGGGUGCCCUGUUAGCGU